rnacentral:rRNA from 1 species
AAAUUGAAGAGUUUGAUCAUGGCUCAGAUUGAACGCUGGCGGCAGGCCUAACACAUGCAAGUCGAGCGGUAGCACAGAGAGCUUGCUCUCGGGUGACGAGCGGCGGACGGGUGAGUAAUGUCUGGGAAACUGCCUGAUGGAGGGGGAUAACUACUGGAAACGGUAGCUAAUACCGCAUAACGUCGCAAGACCAAAGUGGGGGACCUUCGGGCCUCAUGCCAUCAGAUGUGCCCAGAUGGGAUUAGCUAGUAGGUGGGGUAACGGCUCACCUAGGCGACGAUCCCUAGCUGGUCUGAGAGGAUGACCAGCCACACUGGAACUGAGACACGGUCCAGACUCCUACGGGAGGCAGCAGUGGGGAAUAUUGCACAAUGGGCGCAAGCCUGAUGCAGCCAUGCCGCGUGUGUGAAGAAGGCCUUCGGGUUGUAAAGCACUUUCAGCGGGGAGGAAGGCGGUGAGGUUAAUAACCUCAUCGAUUGACGUUACCCGCAGAAGAAGCACCGGCUAACUCCGUGCCAGCAGCCGCGGUAAUACGGAGGGUGCAAGCGUUAAUCGGAAUUACUGGGCGUAAAGCGCACGCAGGCGGUCUGUCAAGUCGGAUGUGAAAUCCCCGGGCUCAACCUGGGAACUGCAUUCGAAACUGGCAGGCUAGAGUCUUGUAGAGGGGGGUAGAAUUCCAGGUGUAGCGGUGAAAUGCGUAGAGAUCUGGAGGAAUACCGGUGGCGAAGGCGGCCCCGGACUGACGCUCAGGUGCGAAAGCGUGGGGAGCAAACAGGAUUAGAUACCACGGUAGUCCACGCCGUAAACGAUGUCGAUUUGGAGGUUGUGCCCUUGAGGCGUGGCUUCCGGAGCUAACGCGUUAAAUCGACCGCACGGGAGUACGGCCGCAAGGUUAAAACUCAAAUGAAUUGACGGGGGCCCGCACAAGCGGUGGAGCAUGUGGUUUAAUUCGAUGCAACGCGAAGAACCUUACCUGGUCUUGACAUCCACAGAACUUUCCAGAGAUGGAUUGGUGCCUUCGGGAACUGUGAGACAGGUGCUGCAUGGCUGUCGUCAGCUCGUGUUGUGAAAUGUUGGGUUAAGUCCCGCAACGAGCGCAACCCUUAUCCUUUGUUGCCAGCGGUUCGGCCGGGAACUCAAAGGAGACUGCCAGUGAUAAACUGGAGGAAGGUGGGGAUGACGUCAAGUCAUCAUGGCCCUUACGACCAGGGCUACACACGUGCUACAAUGGCAUAUACAAAGAGAAGCGACCUCGCGAGAGCAAGCGGACCUCAUAAAGUAUGUCGUAGUCCGGAUUGGAGUCUGCAACUCGACUCCAUGAAGUCGGAAUCGCUAGUAAUCGUAGAUCAGAAUGCUACGGUGAAUACGUUCCCGGGCCUUGUACACACCGCCCGUCACACCAUGGGAGUGGGUUGCAAAAGAAGUAGGUAGCUUAACCUUCGGGAGGGCGCUUACCACUUUGUGAUUCAUGACUGGGGUGAAGUCGUAACAAGGUAACCGUAGGGGAACCUGCGGUUGGAUCACCUCCUUACCUUAAAGAA